AGGUCACUGCUAUCGGUGUUCGAUUAAGCCAUGCGAGUCGUGAGGGGUAAAGCCCUCGGCGGAGUGCUCAGUAACACGUGGACAACCUACCCAAGAGUCAGGGAUAACCCCGGGAAACUGGGGAUAAUACCUGAUAGGCCAUGACAUCUGGAAUCGAGUUGUGGUUUAAACGUAAGGCUCUUGGAUGGGUCUGCGGCGGAUUAGGUUGUUGCCGGUGUAACGUACCAGCAAGCCUGUAAUCCGUACGGGUUGUGGGAGCAAGAGCCCGGAGAUGGAUUCUGAGACACGAAUCCAGGCCCUACGGGGCGCAGCAGGCGCGAAAACUCUACGAUGCAGGCAACUGCGAUAGGGGAACAUCGAGUGGCAUCCACCAUGGAUGUCUGUCCAAUCGUCUAAAAAACGAUUGUCAGCGAGGGCCGGGCAAGACCGGUGCCAGCCGCCGCGGUAAUACCGGCGGCUCGAGUGGUGGCCGAUAUUAUUGAGUCUAAAGGGUCCGUAGCCGGCUUUGCAAGUCCUAUGGGAAAUCCAGCGGCUUAACCGUUGGGCUUUCAUGGGAUACUACAUUGCUUGGGACUGGGAGAGGUAGGAGGUACUCAGGGGGUAGGGGUGAAAUCCUGUAAUCCUUUGGGGGACCACCGGUGGCGAAGGCGUCCUACCAGAACAGGUCCGACGGUGAGGGACGAAAGCUAGGGGCACGAACCGGAUUAAUACCCCGGGUAGUCCUAGCCGUAAACGAUGCUCGCUAGGUGUCACGGCAGUCGUGAAUUGUCGUGGCUGCUCGUAGGGAAUCCGUGAAGCGAGCCACUUGGGUAGUACGACCGCUAUGUUGAUACUUAA
rnacentral:rRNA from 1 species